rnacentral:lncRNA from 1 species
CAGGGGUGGCUCUGCAGCAUGUGGGGGUUCAGGAAUGUUAAAGGCAGCUGGAAAUGGGUUCCUCCUGCUCCCAGCUCAGGCCUGGCACUGGUUCUGGAUCUGUUCAUGGGGAGAUGGAUCAGAUCAGAUCAGAAAGGGCCUGGGCAGGGGGAAUGGAUUCCCACUGCCAGGGGCACAGUCAGAUGGGAGAUGGGGAGGGAAUUCCUGGCUGGGAGCGUGGGAGGCCCUGGCACAGAUUCCUGCAGAAGCUGUGGCUGCCCCUGGAUCCCUGGCAGUGCCCAAGGCCAGCAGGGACAGGGCUUGGAACACCCUGAGACAAAGGGAGGUGUCCCUGCCAUGGCAGGGCUUGGCACAAGGGGAUUUUUCCAUCUCAGCCCUACAGAAAAGAAGAGUUUUUUUCUAGGGUUUGGUUGGUGCUGCAGAGCCUCAACUUCCCUUGAGUGUGAUGUGGAACAGGCACCAUCCUCUGCAGAAAUGCUGAAGGAGUCACUGAAAAGCACAUGGAACCCCAUUGCUGGCAGGUUUGGGGCUGGUUUGAGGAGGAUCUGCCAUCCUUGUCCCUCACUGUCCCCUUGCAGAACGUGCUGGCAGCCAGUGGCAACUUUCUGGAGGAUCUCAAGUCUGGAGUUAAUGUCUCUCUACCAUCUGCUGUUUUCUCUGGUCAGCUGCACCACGAGGCUUCUCUCAUCCUGGCAGUGCAAGCAGUACAGCAGAUGCUUUGUUGUGACCUUCCCCACUUGACUUCCUUCUUGGAGAUAGUCCUGGCUUUUGGGAAAAACUUCUGGGCUCUGAGGCUGUUGCUGGACCAGCUUUCCUGUGAGGAGCACAUCCUGUGUGGCACUGCCAACCUGCUUUUGAGGGACCUGAGCAGGGAGGAAGGCACCAUGCUGAGAGUGUGGCAGAACCUUGGCCCCCAGUACGUGGGGGAGUUCCUGUGCCUGUUCCUGACCCGCAGACACAAGAGGAUGCAAUCCGUGGGGCUCUUCAGCCUCAACGUGGUCAUAGAGAACCUGCACCUAUGCCCCUGGGCAAAGCAGCUCUGCGCCUUUUUCCACGAGUCAGGGCUGGGGCAGCUCCCCUUUGGCACCACAGUUCACCAGGAAGUUUCCAAGUUCGUCAGUGCUUUUGAGAAGCUCUGAUUGGGACCAAAUCCUCAGGAAUAUUUUCUCAGUUGGUUUUUCAUCCAAGCAGUCUCUUCCUGGAGAGUUCCUUGGGUUUGCUUUGGUUGUCCCCUCCAGGAAGAGUCAGCUAAAAACUGGGACUGGCUCUGGAGUGGGAACAUUUUGGGAGUUUCUUGCAGUUCCACAUAUUCAGGAGUUGUUGGCAGCAGCCUGGAGUUGUUUUCAGAAGCUGAGAAAAGCAGGGAUGGAGCAGGAAACAGCAGAGAAUUUUUCCUCCUGUUGGGACACAAACCUUGCAAGAGGCAACUGCUGAGAGGGAAAAACUUACACCAGGAAAACAGGGAGCUGCAAACUCCCUCUGCAGCAGUCUGGGGUCAAGUGCUGUUUGCACAGCUCUGAUUUUUGGGUUUCAUUCUAAACCAAAAGGCUGGAAGGUAAAACUGAGCUUUAUUUUCUUCAGAUAACCCCAGUGUG